rnacentral:rRNA from 1 species
AUUGAACGCUGGCGGCAGGCCUAACACAUGCAAGUCGAGCGGACGAAGGGAGCUUGUUCCUGGCUUCAGCGGCGGACGGGCGAGUAAUGCAUAGGAAUCUGCCUGGUAGUGGGGGAUAAGGUCCGGAAACGGGCGCUAAUACAGCAUACGUCCAGAGGGAGAAAGUGGGGGAUCUUUGGACCUCACGCUAUCUGAUGAGCCUAGGACGAAUUAGCUAGUUGGUGGGGUAAAGGCCUACCAAGGCGACGAUCCGUAACUGGUCUGAGAGGAUGAUCAGCCACACUGGAACUGAGACACGGUCCAGACUCCUACGGGAGGCAGCAGUAGGGAAUAUUGGACAAUGGGCGAAAGCCUGACGCAGCCAUGCCGCGUGUGUGAAGAAGGUCUUCGGAUUGUAAAGCACUUUAAGUUGGGAAGAAGGGCAGUAAGUUAAUACCUUGCUGUUUUGACGGUACCAACAGAAUAAGCACCGGCUAACUUCGUG